CCUACGGGAGGCUGCAGUGGGGAAUAUUGCACAAUGGGCGCAAGCCUGAUGCAGCCAUGCCGCGUGUGUGAAGAAGGCCUUCGGGUUGUAAAGCACUUUCAGCGGGGAGGAAGGCGGUGAGGUUAAUAACCUCAUCGAUUGACGUUACCCGCAGAAGAAGCACCGGCUAACUCCGUGCCAGCAGCCGCGGUAAUACGGAGGGUGCAAGCGUUAAUCGGAAUUACUGGGCGUAAAGCGCACGCAGGCGGCCUGUCAAGUCGGAUGUGAAAUCCCCGGGCUCAACCUGGGAACUGCAUUCGAAACUGGCAGGCUAGAGUCUUGUAGAGGGGGGUAGAAUUCCAGGUGUAGCGGUGAAAUGCGUAGAGAUCUGGAGGAAUACCGGUGGCGAAGGCGGCCCCCUGGACAAAGACUGACGCUCAGGUGCGAAAGCGUGGGGAGCAAACAGGAUUAGAUACCCGAGUAGUC
rnacentral:rRNA from 1 species